rnacentral:rRNA from 1 species
UACAGAGGAGGCAAGCGUUGUUCGGAAUCACUGGGCUUAAAGCGCGUGUAGGCGGCCCGUCAAGUACCUUGUGAAAUCCCUCGGCUCAACCGGGGAAUGGCUGGGUAUACUGACAGGCUUGAGGUUGGUAGGGGUGCCUGGAACUCUAGGUGGAGCGGUGAAAUGCGUAGAUAUCUAGAGGAACGCCCGUGGCGAAAGCGGGGCACUGGGCCGACACCUGACGCUAAGACGCGAAAGCGUGGGGAGCAAACGGGG